UACGAAGGGGGCUAGCGUUGUUCGGAAUUACUGGGCGUAAAGCGCACGUAGGCGGAUUUGUAAGUCAGGGGUGAAAUCCCGGGGCUCAACCUCGGAACUGCCUUUGAUACUGCAAGUCUCGAGUCCGAUAGAGGUGGGUGGAAUUCCUAGUGUAGAGGUGAAAUUCGUAGAUAUUAGGAAGAACACCGGUGGCGAAGGCGGCUCUCUGGACCGGUGCUGACGCUCAGGCGCGAAAGCGUGGGGAGCGAUCCGG
rnacentral:rRNA from 1 species